rnacentral:rRNA from 1 species
GACGAACGCUGGCGGCGUGGAUUAGGCAUGCAAGUCGAACGGUAGGAUACCUUCGGGUAUCUGAGAGUGGCGAACGGGUGAGUAACACGUAGGUGAUCUACCCUCAAGAUUGGGACAACCCAGGGAAACUUGGGCUAAUACCGGAUGAAAGCAGCAGUGAUGUUGUUUGAAAGGUGGCGUAAGCUGCCGUUUGGGGAUGAGCCUGCGCUCUAUUAGUUAGUUGGCGGGGUAAAGGCCCACCAAGGCGAUGAUAGAUAGGCGGCCUUAACGGGUGGUCGCCCACACUGGGAUUGAGAUACGGCCCAGACUCCUACGGGAGGCAGCAGUCGAGAAUAGUCUACAAUGGCCGAAAGGCUGAUAGUGCGACGCCGCGUGAACGAAGAAGCCCUUCGGGGUGUAAAGUUCUUUUAUAUGUGAGCAGUGCUUUCUAUGUGAACAGCAUGGGGAGAGAGAUAUUAGCAUAUGAAUAAGCAACGGCUAACUCCGUGCC